rnacentral:rRNA from 1 species
CUCGACUACAUGAAGCUGGAAUCGCUAGUAAUCGCAGAUCAGAAUGCUGCGGUGAAUACGUUCCCGGGUCUUGUACACACCGCCCGUCACCACCAUGGGAGUCGGAAAUGCCCGAAGCCGGUGACCCAACCAAAAGGAGGGAGCCGUCGAAGGCAGGUCUGAUAACUGGGGUGAAGUCGUAACAAGGUACC